rnacentral:rRNA from 1 species
UACGUAGGGUGCGAGCGUUGUCCGGAAUUAUUGGGCGUAAAGAGCUUGUAGGCGGUUUGUCGCGUCUGCUGUGAAAACUCGGGGCUUAACCCCGGGCCUGCAGUGGGUACGGGCAGACUAGAGUGCGGUAGGGGAGACUGGAAUUCCUGGUGUAGCGGUGAAAUGCGCAGAUAUCAGGAGGAACACCGGUGGCGAAGGCGGGUCUCUGGGCCGUAACUGACGCUGAGGAGCGAAAGCGUGGGGAGCGAACAGG